AGCUGAAGAUUCACUAGCUGCUGGAUUGCUACCGCACAGUAAAUUUUCAUAAUCAUAUACUCUGUCCUGCAGAGAGACUUCUUCUCUAAUACAAGUUUCUGAUUAAAUAACUGUUGGUCAGAAAAAGAAAGCAGCACUUUAUUUUAGUGUGAACUGCUUCUGAGAAAACAUGUUUUAUCUUGCAUCAAUAGACAAUCCACAAUAUUAGUGAACUUUUUUUUUUUUUUUCUGCAUAUACAAAUGUUUUCCAAACCUAGGUUUCUCUUCUUAAACAAUUCGUCCACCAUGGUAAAAUCUCUACGCACACAAUCAGUAUUCUCCUUUGAAUACUUGCUUGUACACAGGUCACAAUUCUUCUUGACCCUGCUUCAUUUUAUUUUCUUAGUAAUAUUUUCCAGUAAUUACAUUUCAAUGUGACUUUGUCUUUCCUCCCUUUUCCCCCCUCCCUAUUUCAGUCACUUACUCAGCACUGCACAGAAUUCUUCCCAGGGUUAAUUAUCUUUGGUUGGUCUUUUCAGCCUAUAACUACUGAACAUUUUAAUAAAAUCGUAUUGUUAGAGGAGUUCUUCCAGCUGAUUGAUGGGCCUACAGAAUUAUAUUAAAGAUUGCAUUAGAUCUCUGAACAUCCCUCUUCUAAUCCCUCACUCCAGCAAUAUAUUUGAUACAAAUAUUUCUACUGUUGAUGUGAGUUUAUGAAAUACUGUUUCUAAUUGCCCAUUACCUCCUGUAUUGAUAGUGUCUCUGAAUAAAUUCCUACCUUUUUAUUGCUGCUUUUUGACUUGAUAUCUGCUCUGGUAUUUUUACAGUGUCAGUGACAUUUUAAGAUGUGUUAUUUGGACCAACCCCCUCCGUUGCCCUCUUUGAGCUUUGCACUUAUUUUUUGUACAAGUAUUAUUGCGACUCUUUGCCUGUUUUGCUGAACCGAGGAGCUGCACCUCUGCAGAGUGGCUGCCCCCAUGCCAUCCUCGGAUUUUCCUGCCAGGCCAUAAGAGACCCCAGUCCCCUGGGCCCUCGUGCUGUCCGCAUGGUGGUGACAGCAGCCUGGCCAUGCUGGGUGGCAGUGCCACACGAGCCCCUUGUCCCCUGCGGUAGGGACAGACCCCAUGCCCUGCCAGUGGGGCCGGGGCCAUACCCACACACCCAGCGACAUGGGGAUGUCGGUCCCGUGUAACCCAGAGCCUUUAAAAACAGGGGGUUGCUAAUUGUGCUCCUACCACGUAUUUGUACUUUUUAAUUGGUUGGGUUAACGUUUUACUGAUGUGCAAAGCAUGUGAUUUUUUUGGGUGCUAAUUAGGCUAACAUUUUCUCUCCCUUUUUAAUCUAUUAAUUUGGAGUAGUUGGAUGUAAUUGUAAUUAAAUAUAUGGGUGCUAUUUUUCAAAUGACUGAAAUGCUUUUAUGAAAAGAAGGAUGCCGUCUCAGAUCUAAACAUCAAGGGCCCUUGAGUGUUACUCCCACUCUCCCACUGACUCAUUGUUUGUCACUGGGCAAGUACAUUAGCUCUCUACCUCCGUUUCUUGCCUUCCAGGGCUAUUGUGAGAAUUAAUUAGAUAAUGUUUCAGCACAGCUUUGAACUGGAGAGUGCUACAAAAGUGCCAAGUUAUAAUUUAUUAUUAUGAAAGCAGGCAUGCUGGCUGGGGAACGAGACCUCUGAUGCAAUCCCAGCGGAGUGCGGACGGCGAGGAGGCUGGGACCUAGGACAAGAAACUCUCCUGUUGCCUUGGGAUCACCUCGGCGAUGUACCUGCAGAGUCUCCACUGCAGCCCCUGCUGGAGUGCGCUCAAGCGUUAAAUGCUCACUGCUGCAGCACACAGCCCCCCUUCCAGACAGCUUCCUGAUGAAAGCAGAGAAAUGAAGAAGUCCGUAAAGCCACAACCUAAAAUUCAAGACACAGAGCGUGAGAAGGAGAUGCAGAGCAUUUUGAUGUCAUCAUCGUGAUGAAGUUUAGCUGAAGUCAUCGAUGCACAUCGAUGUGAACUGGAAGUGCCAGAAGCCAGGUCCACAGCAGCCUCAUGCUGAAUAAAGUGGAAGGAAUGUCCUCAGAUCUGUUUCCAGGGUGAUGUUAUUUCCAGGGAGCAUGCUUUUCCCCUUCGGCUCAGACACUGCUUUUCCAGCAGCCAUGUCCAAGGGAACAAAGCUCUCCUCUCCUGCUCCCAGCCCCAGACAGGAAUUAACCUGGACAACAAACGUAUUCUGCGGGUACUUUGCCUAGAAAAAGCCCUAUUCUCUUGAAUUUGCCAUAUGAUUCUUAAGACACCCCUGAAGAAAAUCAUCCUCCGUUUUGCUGUGCCUGGUAACCUGAACGUUUAUCGCUUAUGAAGUUUUUAGCAUCUUGAGAUGUAUUUGGUGGAAAAAAAAAUAAUAGCACAGCUGGCUGCAGGAAGCUGCCAGCUUGACAGAAGAUUACAUCACUUUUGUUCACGGGCAGUGUGAGGACGCAAAGAAAGAGUACGUGACCAGAGGUUCACCUCUCAUUACACAUCACACAAAUAACGAGGGACAGCCAAAAGGAAAGAGUUGGGUUCCUUGCCCAUCCCACUACAAACGUGGAAAAACAACACUGCCAUACCUGUGUAAUGCUGCUCUAGCAUGAGGAAGGACUUGACCCUGUAUGUUAAAAAGCAAAAGCCUUGAAGAACAUUACUGGUGUUAACUUCAAACACUGUAAAUGAAGGGAGGAGAAACCCAGGGCUGAGACUUGCCGUCCCCAGCACCGAGCCCGCAAAGCAUCGCGACCGACCGACAGGGGCAGGCGGCGGCCGCCGGGGUGCGGUGAGCUGAGGAAACGCGGCCGGGCUGGUGCCGGUGG